rnacentral:lncRNA from 1 species
GAGGACAGGGAGGGCGUAGGCGUCGGUACCAGGCUGAAGAGCGCCCGGCGGCCAGUGGACGGUGAGGGCGGUGGACCCGCCUGCAGCGAACUGAGUGCUGCCUGACGAUGCUCUCGGGACACGUCUCCGCGCAGGUCCAAGAGGGCAGAGACGUGAUCCUCGCUGCAGGAAUACCACCACGUGCGUCAGCCCAGCCCUCCCUCGUCCUCCUGGGCCGUUCCUCCCCUGUCCCCUUCCUCGCACCUCACGUCGGGAAAUUGCUGCCUCAAGCCUGCCACCUCGAGGCCAAGCAGUGUGGGGUCGUGGAGGUUGAGCAGUUCCCUCAGCGCGAGCAGGACGGGCGCGCAGUGAGCGCUCUCUUCCAGGCCCUGAACACAUGGGAACAGGGUUUCCAGCGGGCCCUCGGCUCCCACCCAACUACAGAGAUCCUCGACUGUCUGCCCUCCCAAUGAGCUCUCACCAAACCAAGGAAAAGCUCUUUGAGCUGGGCAGCAUCCUGCCGAAGUCGCUCAGCCGCCUGGCUCCGCUCGUCCGUACCGCGGCACACUAGGCGGCCCUGCAUCAGAGCCCUUAGACUGGGAUGGCGACCUCACCUGGAGCUCAACCUGCAGUACUUCCAAAACCAGGCGGCAGAUCCUCCUUUGUACGUCGUCCAGCGCAGCUUCCACUGGAGCUAAGACCCCGGAAGCUUCCCCGUCCGGCAGCAGGACCGAGACCGAAGAUCUGGACCAAAAAGUGUGACUUCAGGACCAAGGCCAAGGCUCGCAUGGCCCUCUAGGAUUCAUCCACUCUGGCGCCACCUUGUGGUACAGUGUCUGGUGGGAGCUGGGGCGGAAAGGGCGGCUCUGAAUUUAUGAAGGGCUCAGGUAUUCUGUAAGGCUAGGAAGAGUAUGCCCAGCGGACUUGCCUCUAAUGUAACCUCAAGUUAAGUUAUUCUUCCUUUUAUUUUGUUUUAGAGGGGAGCUCUUAAAAGAGUAAAAAUUCCCCGC